UACGAAGGGGGCUAGCGUUGCUCGGAAUUACUGGGCGUAAAGCGCACGUAGGCGGCUUCUUAAGUCGGUGGUGAAAUCCUGGAGCUCAACUCCAGAACUGCCUUCGAUACUGAGGAUCUUGAGUACGGGAGAGGUGAGUGGAACUGCGAGUGUAGAGGUGAAAUUCGUAGAUAUUCGCAAGAACACCAGUGGCGAAGGCGGCUCACUGGCCCGUAACUGACGCUGAGGCACGAAAGCGUGGGGAGCAAACAGG
rnacentral:rRNA from 1 species